CCUACGGGUGGCAGCAGUGAGGAAUAUUGGUCAAUGGGCGCGAGCCUGAACCAGCCAAGUCGCGUGAGGGAGGACGGCCCUACGGGUUGUAAACCUCUUUUGCCGGGGAGCAACGUGCGCCACGUGUGUCGUCACUGAGAGUACCCGGAGAAAAAGCAUCGGCUAACUCCGUGCCAGCAGCCGCGGUAAUACGGAGGAUGCGAGCGUUCUCCGGAUUUAUUGGGUUUAAAGGGUGCGUAGGCGGAUCGUUAAGUCAGUGGUCAAAUUGAGGGGCUCAGCCCCUUCCCGCCAUUGAAACUGGCGUUCUUGAGUGGAAGAGAAGUAAGCGGAAUGCGUGGUGUAGCGGUGAAAUGCAUAGAUAUCACGCAGAACCCCGAUUGCGAAGGCAGCAUGCCGGAUUCCGACUGACGCUGAAGCACGAAAGCGUGGGGAUCGAACAGGAUUAGAUACCCCAGUAGUC
rnacentral:rRNA from 1 species